GGGGGUGUAAAGGUUUCGACUUACAAGGACCAUAUCAGUUGCGUGCGGAGGAUUAUCGGUUGGCCUCCUUAAAAAUCCGGUAAAAAAACAAAUGAUGCUGAAAAUAAUUCCAGCAAGAUCUUCGCAGUUGACUUCUCUUUUGACGAAGCAGCUGAGUUGAUGGUAAUCUAACCCUAGCGGGUUAAAUACUCGACAGUUUGUCUCUGGACCAGGGGAGGCAAGUAUCUGUCGCUCAUACACUUGGUGUGAGUGCUCUACGGUAGGUAGUUGAGUAGUAGCAUUCGAGAACCAUCAAUUACCAAGUAGUGCUGAAGUGGGGUGUCUCCCAGCAAGCAUUUCUUUGAAUUUUAGGAGACACUAGGCAUGUAGAGGCUGGUAGCCGGGAUUUGUUAAGGACGAGAGUUCGAUUCUCUCCACCUCCAACA
rnacentral:tmRNA from 1 species